GGAUGUUAAGCAUAAAAUGAAACUGAUGAUACGUUAUAACUGGAAGCACUGCUAGUAAGAAGCCUAGGCUGCUGUGAGAGCAUAGAGCAGAGGCUGCGUCUGGAGGAGGGGAGAAUCAGGGAGUUUCCUGGAUGAUGUGACGAAUAAAUUGAGGCCCCAAGAACAGGGCCAGAACGAGGCGGAAAGCGCCACCGAGAAUCCAUUCCAAACGAGCAGCCAAGAGGAGACGCGGCAGCUCCCAGAUGUUGAUGUUUUGUUUUUUGACAUAAAUCUUUGCACUCAUA